rnacentral:lncRNA from 1 species
UAGAACCCUAUGCCAUUAAAUCAGGGAUUCUCUUUGUCCUAAGAUAGUAAUGCUUGCAGAGGCACUGCAGCAGGCAAAGAAGAUAAACCCCUAUCUGAGGUUUAUAGGUGGUGAAGGGAAACAAUUUCUUAAGCCCAUACAUAGUUUACAGCUGUGCUACCAUGUACACUCUCUUCUUGGACCCAUGGUGGAAACACUGGAGUUGACGAGAAGAGAGGCUGGUGGACGUCUGCUAGGAAGAUAACCCUGUCCGCCUUGUUGUUAAGAGUCUCUAACAUUGCUCUCUAACUCCAGUUUCUUCAGCUUUGGCCCUCUUGGGCCUUCGAACACAGACUGAAGACUGCGCUGUUGGCUUCACGACUUUGGAGGUUUUGGAACUCCAACUGGCUUCCUUGUUCUUCAGCUUGCAGACGGCCUACUGUGGGACGUCACCUUGAGAUCGUUGAUAUGGACAGGAGACGGAAAUACUGGGUAGAAAAGGGCAGUUCCCUGGCAAAGCCUCACCCUCAAGCCUGGAUACCUGCUGUCUUAAACGAAAACGAAAACAGGCAUUUCUGUGUUCAUGCUCCAAAAGUUAUCUUUUGGCCUGCCACACCCCCUAUCCUGCACCCAUAUGAAUCCCGAACCCCAGACUCCAGAAGCAGACCAGCAAGCCCGCAGACCAGCAGAAGGAUGGCAGAACGAUGUGGCAGAGAAAGGGAGAAGAGGAGGAACAUCUGAAUGCCAAAAUGAGUUCAGCUGGGGGCAGUCAGAGAGGAGUCCAGCCACUGGGCAGCCAGAAUCCAGGGGAGGAUCACCUUUCCACUUCAUCCCCUUCCUCUGCCUCCCCAUCCAUCCUGCUGAAAGCCACCUCCACCACUCAAUAAAACCUGCCAUUCAUCCUUGGA